rnacentral:rRNA from 1 species
UACGAAGGGGGCUAGCGUUGCUCGGAAUCACUGGGCUUAAAGGGUGCGUAGGUGGGUCUGUAAGUCAGUGGUGAAAUCUCCGAGCUUAACUUGGAAACUGCCAUUGAUACUAUGGAUCUUGAAUAUUGUGGAGGUCAGCGGAAUAUGUCAUGUAGCGGUGAAAUGCUUAGAUAUGACAUAGAACACCAAUUGCGAAGGCAGCUGGCUACACAUAUAUUGACACUGAGGCACGAAAGCGUGGGGAUCAAACAGG